rnacentral:rRNA from 1 species
CCUACGGGAGGCAGCAGUAAGGAAUAUUGGUCAAUGGACGAAAGUCUGAACCAGCCAUGCCGCGUGAAGGAUUAAGGCCCUCUGGGUUGUAAACUUCUUUUAUCUGGGACGAAAAAAGGGUAUUCUUACUCACUUGACGGUACCAGAGGAAUAAGCACCGGCUAACUCCGUGCCAGCAGCCGCGGUAAUACGGAGGGUGCAAGCGUUAUCCGGAUUUACUGGGUUUAAAGGGUGCGUAGGUGGGCUUGUAAGUCAGUGGUGAAAUCUCCGGGCUUAACCCGGGAAACUGCCAUUGAUACUAUAGGUCUUGAAUUAUCUGGAGGUAAGCGGAAUAUGUCAUGUAGCGGUGAAAUGCUUAGAUAUGACAUAGAACACCAAUUGCGAAGGCAGCUUACUACGGAUAUAUUGACACUGAGGCACGAAAGCGUGGGGAUCAAACAGGAUUAGAUACCCUGGUAGUCCACGCCCUAAACCGAUGGAUACUCGACAUCAGCGAUACACUGUUGGUGUCUGAGCGAAAGCAUUAAGUAUCCACCUGGAGUACGAUCGCAGAUUGAAACUUAAUGAAUUGACGGCUGAGAGNGCGAGACGACACGAGGAGGAGG